GCUGUGGAUACAAGACGGUGGGGKCGGACCCAGACCUCCUUGGACCCCCCAUCCUGGCAGACAAUGCUCUUAACAUAGGGAGAAGUCUCUUUCCCUUUGGAGCGCCAAUCCUCAACCAACCUCCACCCAUCUCUCCAUAUCUCAUCCAACCAGCACCACUUGUACUUUACCCUCUGUCACUGUAAGCCCCCAGGGACAGGGGCCCUGCCUUAUCUGCUGCGGCCCAGAGCCAUGCUGAAGGAGGCACUUUAUCAAGAGCAGGACCCUGUCAACCUUAACCAAGCCCAGAACCCUUCCUUCCCAAUUCCUCUGUUGUCUUUAGACCCUAUUUCUUCUUCAUAUCCUUGGUCCCCAAGUCCCAUGUUCGACCCCAGGCUCCCUUCCUUAACCAGUGGCCCCUCUCACCCACUCUCCCCUUGUGAUCCCUGUUCCCAGCCCCAGUCUCAACACCUCCCCCAGCAUCCAUAGGGACAGGAAGUUGCUAAAAAUACUCCCAAACCCUGGUCUGGUGGCAGACCAGGCUUCACCAGAAAUGUGAUCUGGAAAGCAGUCCCAAGGCCAGGGGACAGGUGACACUGGGCACAUCCCCAGGAAGCAGUGGGGGAUGGGGAGUUGCUUAGUGUUGGCCUAACCCUGUGAACCUGGAGUCCUUUGGGAGACACUGUCCUAUCCCUAAACUUCCUCACCCUAGUGGAGACUUUUCCCCCAAGCUUGCAACAGGGCCAUUUUCACUUAAUUGUUUACCUUAAAUCCUUAAUUGUUAUCUUUUGACCUCAAUUAAGACAUACAGUGGGCACUAAGAAAUGCUGGUUUAAUAUUCCCUGCUCCAAAAAGGCAACCAUUUUGAAGAGGGUUAAGGGCAUGGGCACUGGAGACAGACUGUGAAGGCUCUAAUCCCAGGUCUACCUCUUACUAGCUGUUUGAACUUGGGCAAGUUACUUAACUUCUCUGUGCCACAGUUUUCUCAUCUGCCAAAUAUAGAUAAUAAUAGUACCUUCCUCAUGGGGUUGAAAGGAUAUAAUGAUGCAAUAUUUGCAAAAUCCCAAGAACAGUGUCUGGCACAUAGAAAGCACUGUGUCAUUUUGGUGAAAUAAAUUUUGAGGGCCAGUUUAAUUGCCUGGAAGAACUGAGAGACUGGGAAAAGGGCUGCCCUCUCUGAGCCUCAGCCCUCUCUUUGACCACAAAGGGGUUGGGCUCUUGGUGGUUUUCAAACUCCAGCAGCUCAAUGYUCCCUUCAACACAGUCUUACCCAGAAUGUCCCAGAACCUACCCCAGAGUUCUGGUCAAUGCUUGAACAAGAACCUGGAACAGUAAACCUCAAGACAGCUGGUGCAACAUCUGAGGUUCCUGGGAGUGCAACGUGACUGCUYGUGGAGGAGAGAGACCGUGCUGGAUAUUUCAGCUACAGGCUUGAGGGUACCUAGAAUGCUCCAUGCCACUGCUCCAUGCUACUUGUUAUCUGUCAACUCUGUGAAUAUGAGUGGACGAUUUGAUAACACCUUGGAACACUCUGUGUGGUCCUGUCAGUGAAUUCAAUUACAAAGAACCCGGAUUCAUUUCACAGUUGCAGAAGGAGUUUGUGCUGAGGAAUGAUGACCGUCAUGCGCCGGGGACCUCGGAAGCCCAACACGUUGGUUUCCUGGGAGGGAGAUGCCCGUUAGGCCGGCCCCCUGCAAGAGGAGGAGCCUGGCGUGGGGACAGGAGGAGUUCUCACAUAGAUCACAGCUGCCAGCUCCUGCCGAAGGCGCCCCAGUCUGCUCCCACAGUGUGUCAGGGUUGGUCUUUGUGACUAAUAAAACAUGGCAGAAGUGAAGGUGGGUCACCUGCAAGCUGGGUCACAUCAGAUAUUCUGGCCUCUGCCUGCCUUUUUUUGUUGGGCUCUGGGAGAAGUCGACUGCCAUAUCAUGAAAAUAGCAGCUCCGGGGAGAGCUCAAGUGGAGAGGAACAGAGGCCUCCACCCAACACCACGACAGUGAACCAUUGUGGAAGUACACUGUCCACUUCCAGGCCAGCUCUAGAGGACCACAGCUCCUGCUGACACCUUGACUGCAACCUUAUGCCAGACCCUGUGCCAGAACUGCCCUGCCAACCCCCUCCCAUAUUUCUAACUCCCAGAGA